rnacentral:rRNA from 1 species
GGUGCAGCAAUGCGCCUGAGAGCGGCGGACUGGUGAGUAGCGCGUGGUAACCUACCCUGGGGAUGGGGAUAGCCAUUAGAAAUAGUGGGUAAUACCGAAUACGGUUGCGAGGCAGGGGCUUUGCAACGAAAGGGGCUUCGGCUCCGCCCGGGGAUGGGCCCGCGUUCCAUUAGCUAGUUGGUGGGGUAAGGGCCUACCAAGGCGAUGAUGGGUAGCCGGCCUGAGAGGGUGAACGGCCACACUGGGACUGAGAUACGGCCCAGACUCCUACGGGAGGCAGCAGCUAAGAAUAUUCCGCAAUGGACGAAAGUCUGACGGAGCGACGCCGCGUGGAUGAAGAAGGCCGAAAGGUUGUAAAGUUCUUUUGUUGCUGAAGAAUAAGCGGGGGAGGGAAUGCCCUCGUGAUGACGUUAGGCGACGAAUAAGCCCCGGCUAAUUACGUGCCAGCAGCCGCGGUAACACGUAAGGGGCGAGCGUUGUUCGGAAUUAUUGGGCGUAAAGGGCGCGUAGGCGGUUAUGUAAGCCUGGCGUGAAAUGGUAGGGCUUAACCCUAUCACGGCGUUGGGAACUGUGUAACUUGAGUCAUGGAGGGGGAGUUGGAAUUCCGCGUGUAGGGGUGAAAUCUGUAGAUAUGCGGAAGAACACCGGUGGCGAAGGCGAAC